rnacentral:rRNA from 1 species
AUUGAACGCUGGCGGCAGGCCUAACACAUGCCAGUCGAGCGGAUGAAGGGAGCUUGCUCCUGGAUUCAGCGGCGGACGGGCGAGUAAUGCCUAGGAAUCUGCCUGGUAGUGGGGGAUAACGUCCGGAAACGGGCGCUAAUACCGCAUACGUCCUGAGGGAGAAAGUGGGGGAUCUUCGGACCUCACGCUAUCAGAUGAGCCUAGGUCGGAUUAGCUAGUUGGUGGGGUAAAGGCCUACCAAGGCGACGAUCCGUAACUGGUCUGAGAGGAUGAUCAGUCACACUGGAACUGAGACACGGUCCAGACUCCUACGGGAGGCAGCAGUAGGGAAUAUUGGACAAUGGGCGAAAGCCUGAUCCAGCCACGCCGCGUGUGUGAAGAAGGUCUUCGGAUUGUAAAGCACUUUAAGUUGGGAGGAAGGGCAGUAAGUUAAUACCUUGCUGUUUUGACGUUACCAACAGAAUAAGCACCGGCUAACUUCGUG